UACGAAGGGGGCUAGCGUUGUUCGGAAUCACUGGGCGUAAAUGGUGCGCAGGCGGAUUUUUAAGUCAGGGGUGAAAUCCCGAGGCUCAACCUCGGAACUGCCUUUGAUACUGGGGAUCUUGAGUCCGGAAGAGGUGAGUGGAACUGCGAGUGUAGAGGUGAAAUUCGUAGAUAUUCGCAAGAACACCGGUGGCGAAGGCGGCUCACUGGUCCGGAACUGACACUGAGGCACGAGAGCGUGGGGAGCGAACCGG
rnacentral:rRNA from 1 species